rnacentral:misc_RNA from 1 species
UCCGGUUUGUCACCGGCAGUCUCGCAUGAGUCCCCACCAUCACGUGCUGGCAACAUAGAACGAGGGUUGCGCUCGUUGCGGGACUUAACCCAACAUCUCACGACACGAGCUGACGACAACCAUGCACCACCUGUAUACCGACCUUGCGGGGCCCCCAUCUCUGAGGAUUUCCGGUAUAUGUCAAGCCUUGGUAAGGUUCUUCGCGUUGCAUCGAAUUAAACCACAUGCUCCACCGCUUGUGCGGGCCCCCGUCAAUUCCUUUGAGUUUCAUUCUUGCGAACGUACUCCCCAGGUGGGUUACUUAUCACUUUCGCUUAGCCACUCAGUCUUGCGACCGAACAGCUAGUAACCAUCGUUUACGGCGUAGACUAC